GACGUAGGGCGCGAGCGUUGUCCGGAUUUAUUGGGCGUAAAGAGCUCGUAGGCGGCUUGUCGCGUCGAAUGUGAAAACUCGGGGCUCAACUCCGAGCUUGCAUUCGAUACGGGCAGGCUAGAGUUCGGUAGGGGAGACUGGAAUUCCUGGUGUAGCGGUGAAAUGCGCAGAUAUCAGGAGGAACACCGGUGGCGAAGGCGGGUCUCUGGGCCGAUACUGACGCUGAGGAGCGAAAGCGUGGGGAGCAAACAGG
rnacentral:rRNA from 1 species